rnacentral:misc_RNA from 1 species
GAUGAAGAACGCAGCGAAAUGCGAUACGUAAUGUGAAUUGCAGAAUUCAGUGAAUCAUCGAGUCUUUGAACGCACAUUGCGCCCCCUGGUAUUCCGGGGGGCAUGCCUGUCCGAGCGUCAUUGCUGCCCUCAAGCACGGCUUGUGUGUUGGGCCUCCGCCCCCCGGCUCCCGGGGGGCGGGCCCGAAAGGCAGCGGCGGCACCGCGUCCGGUCCUCGAGCGUAUGGGGCUUUGUCACCCGCUCGGAGGCCCGGCCGACGUUGGCCGAUAACCAUCUCAACUGGAGAUCCCCUCGCGGGAUCUCGACCUGUUGACCUCGGAUCAGGUAGGGAUACCCGCUGAACUUAAGCAUAUCAAUAAGCGGAGGA